rnacentral:rRNA from 1 species
GACGAACGCUGGCGGCGUGCUUAACACAUGCAAGUCGAACGGAAAGGCCCUGCUUUUGUGGGGUGCUCGAGUGGCGAACGGGUGAGUAACACGUGAGUAACCUGCCCUUGACUUUGGGAUAACUUCAGGAAACUGGGGCUAAUACCGGAUAGGAGCUCCUGCUGCAUGGUGGGGUUUGGAAAGUUUCGGCGGUUGGGGAUGGACUCGCGGCUUAUCAGCUUGUUGGUGGGGUAGUGGCUUACCAAGGCUUUGACGGGUAGCCGGCCUGAGAGGGUGACCGGCCACAUUGGGACUGAGAUACGGCCCAGACUCCUACGGGAGGCAGCAGUGGGGAAUAUUGCACAAUGGGCGGAAGCCUGAUGCAGCAACGCCGCGUGCGGGAUGAAGGCCUUCGGGUUGUAAACCGCUUUCGCCUGUGACGAAGCGUGAGUGACGGUAAUGGGUAAAGAAGCACCGGCUAACUACGUG